AACCUACCUUUUGGAGAGGGACAACCAUUGGAAACGAUGGCUAAUACCUCAUAUUGCUGAGAAGUGAAAGAUGAAAGUCGCCAAGAGAUGGGCUUGCGGCUGAUUAGCUAGUUGGUGAGGUAAUGGCUUACCAAGGCAAUGAUCAGUAGCUGGUCUGAGAGGAUGAUCAGCCACACUGGGACUGAGACACGGCCCAGACUCCUACGGGAGGCAGCAGUGAGGAAUUUUCCGCAAUGGGCGAAAGCCUGACGGAGCAAUACCGCGUGAAGGAUGAAGGCCUAUGGGUUGUAAACUUCUUUUCUCAGAGAAGAAUUCUGACGGUAUCUGAGGAAUAAGCAUCGGCUAACUCU
rnacentral:rRNA from 1 species